rnacentral:rRNA from 1 species
UACGUAGGAGACGAGCGUUGUCCGGAAUUACUGGGCGUAAAGAGCGCGCAGGCGGCUGGUCAAGUCCGACGUGAAAUCUCCCGGCUUAACUGGGAAAUUGCAUCGGAAACUGGUCGGCUUGAAGGUGGGAGAGGGUAGCGGAAUUCCCGGUGUAGUGGUGAAAUGCGUAGAUAUCGGGAGGAACACCAGUGGCGAAGGCGGCUACCUGGCCCAUUCUUGACGCUGAGGCGCGAAAGCUAGGGGAGCAAACGGG